GAGGAAGUGGUGGAGGACUGAAGAGGUGGAGGAAGUGUUGGAGGACGAAGAGGCGAUUGAAGAGGUGGAUGAGGUGGUGGAGGAAGAACAGGAGGGAACAAUGAAAAUGAAUAACAUUGACAGCACUGAGAGAGCAAGACCAAAACGCAGGUGGUGGACACCAAGGUGUUUAAAAAGAAGCAGCGUGAGGAACAGCAUCAAAAAGAGCAGCAGCAACAGAUUAACAAGAUUCCUUCGGGUCUUUUGCUGUUGUUUCAAAGUUGACAACAGGAUAAGAAGUUUGUAAGAUCUCUGGUCCUCAGCAUCACCUAAAAAUAAUCGCCCUCAAUAAUGCCCUGCUGUCC